AUGGCAGGUGAAAAAGUUGAGAAGCUGGAUACAAAAGAGAAGGAACCUGAAGCCAAUAAGGCUGAUGCCAGUGGCAAGGAUAAAAAGCCCAAGAAAGAGAAGCCCACUGCAACUGAAAUCCUGUCUUCGUCAGAGAAAUUGGCAGAUAUUCCUGAUCUGCUAUGUAUUCCAGCAAGGCCAUGCACAGGAGGAAGUACUCAGUCACUAAAUCUAAGAUUGAAAAGAAAAAGAAGGAGAAGCUUCUUGCCACUGUUACAAAACCAGCUGGUGGUGACAAGAAUGGUGGUACUUGGGUGAUUAAACUUUGCAAAAUGCCUAGAUAUUAUCCUACUGAAGAUGUGCCUCAAAAGCUGCUGAGCCACAGCAAAAAGCCCUUCAGUCAGCAUGUGAGAGAACUUCGAGCUAGCAUCCUUCCUGGACCCUUCUGACCAUCCUCACUGGGCGCCACAAAGGCAAGAUGGUUUUCCUGAAGCAGCUGGGCAGUGGCUUGUUAUUUGCGAUUGGACCUCUGGUCCUCAAUCAAGUUCCUCUGUGAAGAACACACCAGAAAUUUGUCAUCACCACCUCCACAAAAAUUGAUAUCAGCAAUGUAAAAAUCCCAAAACAUCUUACCGAUGCUUACUUCAAGAAGGAACUGCAGAAGCCCAGACACCAGGAGGGUGAGCUCUUAGACACAGAAAAAGAGAAAUACGAGAUUACAGAGCAGUGCACUUUUGAUCAGAAAGCUGUGGACUUGCAAAUUUUACCAAAAAUCAAAGCUAUUCCUCAGCACCAGGGCUACCUGUGGUCUGUGUUUGCCCCGACGAAUGGAGUUCAUCCUCACAAAUUGGUGUUCUAAAUUUCUUAAAAAGAACCUAAUUAAACAACUGA